rnacentral:rRNA from 1 species
GGAUUGAACGCUGGCGGCAGGCCUAACACAUGCAAGUCGAGCGGCAGCACGGGUACUUGUACCUGGUGGCGAGCGGCGGACGGGUGAGUAAUGCCUAGGAAUCUGCCUGGUAGUGGGGGAUAACGCUCGGAAACGGACGCUAAUACCGCAUACGCCCUACGGGGGAAAGCAGGGGACCUUCGGGCCUUGCGCUAUCAGAUGAGCCUAGGUCGGAUUAGCUAGUUGGUGAGGUAAUGGCUCACCAAGGCGACGAUCCGUAACUGGUCUGAGAGGAUGAUCAGUCACACUGGAACUGAGACACGGUCCAGACUCCUACGGGAGGCAGCAGUGGGGAAUAUUGGACAAUGGGCGAAAGCCUGAUCCAGCCAUGCCGCGUGUGUGAAGAAGGUCUUCGGAUUGUAAAGCACUUUAAGUUGGAGGAAGGCAGUUACCUAAUACGUAUCUGUUUUGACGUUACCGACAGAAAUAAGCACCGGCUAACUACUGUGCCAGCAGCCG